UACGUAGGGGGCAAGCGUUGUCCGGAUUUACUGGGCGAAAGCGCGCGUAGGCGGAACGAUCAGUCCGGUCUGAAAGCCCCCGGCUCAACCCGGGGAGGGUGGCUGGAAACUGUCGUUCUUGAGGGCGAGAGAGAAGAGUGGAAUUCCACGUGUAGCGGUGAAAUGCGUAGAGAUGUGGAGGAACACCAGUGGCGAAGGCGACUCUUUGGCCUGUAACUGACACUGAGGCGCGAAAGCGUGGGGAGCAAACAGG
rnacentral:rRNA from 1 species